rnacentral:lncRNA from 1 species
UAUCGUAAGUAGCAAGGCUACACAAUAAAUAGAAAAUUUAAAAAAAAAAAGUGUUAAACAACAGCAAAAUUAUGUUACUGCUGUCACAUACGUAAAAUUCUUUGUACUCACUUAAUAAGAUCUUAAAAGCAAUGUUCUCUUAAUAGACUCUCACACAAGGCGGAGGCAGCUAUAUAUACUGCCAUGGUUUACACUCCAACCCUUGUUUUAAAUGAAGAAAAAAGAAAAAUAAGAAUGGUACUAAUAGUCCAACCCUCUUGUUAUCAUGAAUAUCGGAAACGUCGAAAUAAGGACUUGCAUAUUGAAAGAUUUUAUUUCUAAUUGCACAGUGAAACCUUUUAUAUUAAAGCUCAACACUCAUUGGAUUGCAUAAGUGGUUCAGUUAUGACAAUUUUAAUGUGAUUAGUGAAACACAUGACCAACUCUGAAAUCUUGAUACUUAAUAUUUACUCUGUGCCACAACAAAAGAAAAACAUUGAUGGUGGGUGAAAAAUGAGUCAUGAUUAAGAUCAGGUGCAGUGUUUAGGUCAUAAUAUCAAUAUGUAGUGCCAGUGUGCCAUUAUGCAAUUCGCUGAUGUGCAUAGAUUGGCUUGAUUCAUUUUUGUAAGAAUGUAAGCAUGAGUAUGAAUUUGUGAACUUAGUUACAGGAUUAAAGACUGAAUAGGAAGUCUUGUUGAGAUUGGAUUUGUGAAUCCAUAUCGGUGCUGAAUUGCUAUUUCAUAAGAAUUGUUUUUCUAUAUGGAUUUUAAUAGGGAAAUCCUUAUGGAAUAAGGUUAGGAUUAUAUAGUAUAUAUAUGGUGGUCUCUGCUCUCACAGUGUGUGCUUAAUUCUAGACUAAGACCUAUUAUUAGUUGAAAGCCUUUGAACACUCAAGAGAGGAGAAGGUGUGCUGUGAUUUUCUGCAGAGAUCAGACAUGGCAGCCGGUUCAAGUUCAUCUACAGGUAUGGUUUUCUUCAUGUAUUGUUUGCUGAGUUAUGGUCAUAUGUUUUGAUCACUGUGAUUCAUGUUGCUAGAUCUUGGUUUUAUGUUUAUUCUAACAUGGUAUCAGAGCAAGGUUUAUAAGUUUAUGAAUUCUGUAAUCAAAACCGAUAGGUUCAGAUAGCAUGAAUGAUAUUUAAAAAAAAAAAAAUUGUUGCGGGUUAGGGGACUCAAACCCUAGGUCUUUUGUCAUAAGGGUUUUCGAGACAAAAACCUUAAAUAAAUUACUGUUAAAUUUAAAGAAAAGUCCAUGCGUAAGGGUUUCUUCUCCAUUUGGGGCUUUUCGAUUAAGAUCACCAUUCAUCAAAACAUGCUUCUUGGUAAAGAUUACUUCAACCAAUAUGAUCGAUUUGGAUGACUAUUCUGCUGCGCUAUUUUCUAAAAUAGGAUCUAUGAGAGGUAUGUUUGAUGAAUUGCAAAUUUUGUCUUUGUCUGCUUGAUGUUUCGAUACAAGGAUUGAGUCUAUAGAUUUUGUUAAAUCUUAAAACUAUAUGAAUUAAAUCCGUUUGAAACUUCUGAUUAGUGAUCUUAGACCAUGAGUUACUCAAACUUGUAUUCAUCUGCAGUUAUUUUGUCAUUUGCAAAUACUAAUGCCCCUCUGUGUUUUCUGUUAAACAAUGGAAAAUGAUUACCAUGCAUGAGACAUCUAUUGGAUGUCUGUUGUUGCAUACUUUGUUAUUGAUGAGUCAAUUUUUCUAUGUAUGCUUAUCAACGAUACGUUGCUAAGUCUAUAUGUAUGAAUCAUUGAUGCAAAUUAUGAUGUGCAAACUGCAAAGGAAAUCAGGAACCUAACUGGUUCAUGUUUGUGAUUUCAUUUGCAGCAUCUGCAAUAUCUCUCAAGACCUUGAACUUAGCAAAUAUUCCAAUUCUCGCUUGAGGGAGUAAUUACAAGAAAUGGAGGAGAGAAAUAGGGCUAUUAUUGACCAUCAAUGAGUAUGAUAUAGCCAUUGAUACUCUAAGAUCAGUGAUCACAGAUCAAAGCACUAGAGCAGAAAAGGUUGAUUAUGAAAAAUGGACAAGAGCCAACAAAGUUGCACUUUCAAUCCUUGAAAGUGGGAUGACUAACAUAGUUCGAUGAGGGAUUAAAAGACAUGAGUUGGCUGCAGAAUACCUGAGUGCAAUUGAGAAGAAAUUCAAGGAAUCUGAGAAGACUGAGAUCAGUCAACACAUGUCACUCUUAACAACCUACAAAAUUGACAAUGCUGGUUCAAUUAGAGACCACAUAAUGAAGAUGACUGAUGUUGUUGAAAAGUUAAAUUCUAUGGAAGUUAACAUUGGUGAAAAGCAGUUGGUCUUCAUGAUCCUUCAAGCCCUCCCAAACAAGUAUUCUCAAUUAAAGGUGUCAUACAACACUCAAGACAAGAGUUGGGAUGUAGAUGAGCUAAUUGCACAGUGUGUUCAAGAAGAAACUCGACAGAGGCAAGAAAAAGGCAAGGAUGCUGAAAUUGUGAAUUUCGUGCAAGGAGGGAAAGGCAGGAAGUUCAACAAUGCUGGAUUUAAUCCAGGUAAGAACUUUAAACACCAUAAGCCUUCUGAUAAGACUGCUAUAUCUGCUAAGGUAUUUGAAACUUCUAGAGGAUCUAACAAUCUUAAACCAAAAGUGAAAAAUGUUGCUAAACUCAAAUGUUUUUUCUGCAAAACUAGAGGUCAUUUAAGAAAAGAUUGUGAACUGUUUAAAGACUACUUAAAGGCUAAUGGAAAGGAGAUAGUUAAUGUAUAUGUAGAGUCAAACUUAAUUGAGGUUCCAUUCAAUUCUUGGUGGUUCGAUACUGGCUGCACAGUUCACAUAACUAACUCAAUGCAUGGUUUUCAAAAACAAAAGGAUGCCAGUUUUAACUGUUUUAAUGUCUUUGUGGGGGAAGGGACAAAAGUUGCAGUCAAAGCUAUUGGAUCAGUGAGAUUAGAAUUAAAUUCUAGUUUCAUUUUACAACUAAGUGAUGUCUUAUAUGUGCCAAAGAUGAGAAGAAACGUAAUUUCAGCCUCUAAACUUGUCAAAAAUGGUUUUUCUUUCUUAGGGGAUGAUGAAUGUUUGAAACCUUUUAUGAAAAACAGUUUUGAUUCUAUUUUGGGGACUGCUCGGUUAGUUGAACGCUUAUGGCAGUUAGAGUGUAGUGUUGUUCUUAGUGAGUAUCAUGCACUACACACAAGUACAAAGAGAAUGUUAAACACUGACACUUUUUACACCUUUUGGCACAAGAGAUUAGGUCACAUAUCAAAUGAAAGAAUCACUAAACUAUCAAAAUCCAACUUGAUUCCUCCAUUAAAUUUUGAAACUGCAACUGAUUUGUGGUCAUUUCCCAACUAAAACCAUUUGUGGAAAUAGUUACUUUGUUAAUUUCAUUGAUGACUUUUCAAGAUUUAGUUAUACCUACUUAAUAAGUGAAAAGUCAGCUGCUCUUAAAUGUUUCAUAAUCUUUAAGGCUGAGGUAGAAAAACAGUUAAACAAAUCCAUUAAGAUUGUUAGAUCGGAUAGGGAUGGAGAAUAUUUUGGCAGGUACACAGAGUCUGGACAACAGAAGGGCCAUUUUGCCCUCUAUCUUGAAGAACAAGGAAUCGUGGCUCAAUACACAACUCCUGGUACACCACAACAAAAUGAAGUAUCAGAAAGAAGGAACAGAAUACUGAUUGGCAUGGUGAAGAGCAUGAUGUCAAGGUCCAGGUUGCCUAGUUUCAUUUAGGGUGAGGCUUUAAAGACUGCCAAUUACAUAUUAAAUCGAGUCCUGAGCAAAUCAGUGUCAACCACCCAUUUUGAAGCAUGGUAUGGAAGAUUACCGAGUUUUGGCCAUUUUCACAUUUGGGGUUGCAAGGCAGAAGCUCGGUUCUACAACCCAGAGGAAAGAAAACUAGAUCGGAGAACCGAGUCAUGCUAUUUCAUAGGCUACUCAAAGAAAUCAAAGGGGUUCAAGUUCUAUUGUGCACAAUCUCAUACAAGAAUCAAAGAAACACACAAUGCAAGGUUUUUUGAAGAUCAAGAUGUAUCAGAUUUUACUAUUGAAAAUUUCAUAUUUGAAGAAUUAGAGCAGUCAUCGAAUGAAACAUCCUCAAUUGAUCACUGCCCUGUGUUAGUAUACUUUCAAGCCACGGAUCAAGAUGUUGAGGCUGACUACAAUGAGGAUCCCGAUAAAGUAAUGGAACAACCAGAAGUAACUGAAAUGGAGCAUGAACCAAGUUAACAUGGCACGAAACUGAUUGACAGUACAAUGCAAAAUGAUUGUAUUCAAGUGCAACCCCAAAUCAGAAAAUCCACAAGAAUAAGAAAACCUGCAAUUACAAGCGAUUUCCUAUGCUAUCUCAAAGAAACUGACUAUAAUAUUGGAGAUAUUGAUGAUCCUAUGACUUAUUCACAAGCAAUGAAGAGCUCACAAUCAAAUUUGUGGAACAAUGCGAUGAAAGAUGAACUGGAAUCAAUGUACAAGAAUCAGGUUUGGUUAUUGGUGGAACCUAAAUCUGAUAAAAGGCCUAUAGGAUGCAAAUGGGUUUACAAAACUAAGAGGGAUGCACAGGGACAAAUUGAAAGGUAUAAAGCUCGAUUGGUUGCUAAAGGGUUCACUCAAAGAGAAGGAAUUGACUACAAUGAUACCUUCUCACCCGUGUCCUCAAAAGAUUCAUUGAGACUCAUUAUGGCUAUAACUGCAUACUAUGAUCUAGAGUUACAUCAAAUGGAUGUAAAAACAGCUUUUCUCAAUGGGGAUCUUCAAGACGACAUUUAUAUGGUUCAACCCCUUGGAUAUAUUGAAAGGGGGAAGGAGAAUAUGGUUUGUAAAUUAAAGAAGUCGAUCUAUGGUCUCAAACAAGCAUCCAGACAAUGGUACUUAAAGUUUGAUCAAGUAAUCACAUCUGAUGGUUUUGUUGAGAAUAAACUCGAUGAUCGCAUCUACCUAAAGUUUAGAGGGUCGGAGUUCGUAAUCUUAGUUCUAUAUGUUGAUGACAUAUUACUUGCAAGUUCGAGCAUUCAGUUGUUAAAAGAGACAAAAGCAUUGCUCAGUGCAAAUUUCGAAAUGAAGGACCUUGGUGAGGCACAUUUUGUCCUAGGCAUUGAAAUUGCUAGAGACAGAAACAGAAAGUUAUUGGGACUUUCUCAGAAAGCCUACAUUGAAAUGUUUUUUUUACUAGGUUCAACAUGGAAAGCUGCAAUGGUUGCCAUGUUCCAGUGAACAAAGGGGAUCGUUUAUCAAAUGAACAAUGUCCUAGAACCGAUUUCAAAGUCAAGAAGAUGUCUGAGAAACUAUAUGCUUCAUUAGUUGGAAGCUUAAUGUAUGCAAAUGUUUGUACAAAACCUGACAUUGCAUAUAUAGUAGGAAUUUUGGGCAGAUUUUAAUCUAAUCCAGGAGAAGCUCAUUGGAGUGCUGCCAAGAAAGUUCUGAGGUAUCUGCAACAAACCAAGGGCUAUAUGCUUGUGUAUGAUAGAGAAGAAGAACUUGAAUUGAAAGGGUACACAGAUUCUGACUUGGCAGGAGAUUUAGAUGACAGAAAAUCAAUUGGUGCAUAUGUAUUUAUGUUUGGUGGAGGUGCAGUGUCUUGGAAGAGUGCCGAGCAAACUAUCAUUGCGACUUCUACUAUGGAGGCAGAGUUUGUGGCAUGCUUUGAAGGAAUGAAGCAAGGAGUAUGGUUAAGAAUUUUGUGGCAGAAUUAAGGAUUGUAAAAUCAAUACAGAAGCCUUUGACAAUGUAUUGUGACAAUAAUUCUGCAGUUUUCUUUGCUAAGAACAACAAAAGAACUUCUGCUUCGAGGUUGAUGGAUGUCAAGUUUCUAAAAGUAAGGGAGAAAGUCAAGCAAGGAACCAUUGAUGUGCAUCAUAUCAGUACGAGUUUAAUGGUUGCUGAUCCUUUGACCAAGGCCUUGGCUGUUGAUAUUUUUAAGGUGAAAAUCUCCAGAAUGGGCGUGCUUGAGUCCCUUGAUUAGUGGGAGUAGUGUUUUAUCAAAGGCUUUUGUGUCAAUAAAGUUGAGAAGUGCUGCUAUUAUGAAGUUCAAAGAGCUGGUAUAGUAGUGAUACUCUUCUCAUCAAGUUAGUUUUCUGGUUCAGUUUGCUUUAUUUACAGUUAGUAUAAUUGUAAGCUAGUUGUAUUCAGAGAUUCAAUUUUUGUAAUUGUUUGAUCUGAUAUAUAUAUAUAUAUAUAUAUAUAUAUAUAUAUAUAUAUGUGUGUGUGUGUGUGUGUGUGUGUGUGAUUUUGGAUUCAGUUGAUGCCUUAAGGAAUCUUUGUGAUUUGACUUAGGUAGUUGUUUUGAAUUCAUAAGACUUGCAUACAGACAGUUUAUUGACUGUAAUGAACUUGAUUGUUUUGAAUUGAGUUAAGAAAUAGUGGGAGUGGAUAUUUAGGUCCACUGAGUUUCAGUUUGAUCAUAAUGUUAUGAUGUGCAGAUUGGACAUAAGUGAUCUAAGAGCGCCGGUUGCAUAAUGGUUGUGACUGUGAGUUUUCAGAUUCUGUGUUUUGAGAUGAAUAGGUAGAUUGUUUAUGAUGUUGCUCAAAAGGCUUAGUGAUCACCCUAUUGUAGUCUUAAUCGAACUGGUUUCUUGGUUCAUACUUGCUUAAGUGGGAGAAUGUAAGAAUGUAAGCAUGAGUAUGAAUCUAUGAACUUAGUUACAGGAUUAAAGACUGAAUAGGAAGUCUUGUUGAGAUUGGAUUUGUGAAUCCAUAUUGGUGCUGAAUUGCCAUUUCAUAAGAAUUGUUUUUCUAUAUGGAUUUUAAUAGGGAAAUCCUUAUGGAAUAAGGUUAGGAUUAUAUAGUAUAUGUAUGGUGGCCUCUGCUCUCACAGUGUGUGCUUAAUUCUAGACUAAGACCUAUUAUUAGUUGAAAGCCUUUGAACACUCAAGAGAGGAGAAGGUGCGCUGUGAUUUUCUGCAGAGAUUAGACAUGGCAGCCGGUUCAAGUUCAUCUGCAGGUAUGGUUUUCUUCAUGUAUUGUUUGCUGAGUUAUGGUCAUGUGUUUUGAUCACUGUGAUUCAUGUUGCUAGAUCUUGGUUCUAUGUUUAUUCUAACAAUUUUUGCAUGUGUUGUCCAAUGUCAUAGCGGGAAAACAUACAUAUUUGUAGUUAGAGACAAUUAUUUUAGCUGACUGUCGGUACACACAAUAAUUUCUAGUUACAGACUCUUACCUA